rnacentral:rRNA from 1 species
GCGACGAUCCGUAACUGGUCUGAGAGGAUGAUCAGUCACACUGGAACUGAGACACGGUCCAGACUCCUACGGGAGGCAGCAGUGGGGAAUAUUGGACAAUGGGCGAAAGCCUGAUCCAGCCAUGCCGCGUGUGUGAAGAAGGUCUUCGGAUUGUAAAGCACUUUAAGUUGGGAGGAAGGGCAGUAAGUUAAUACCUUGCUGUUUUGACGUUACCAACAGAAUAAGCACCGGCUAACUUCGUGCCAGCAGCCGCGGUAAUACGAAGGGUGCAAGCGUUAAUCGGAAUUACUGGGCGUAAAGCGCGCGUAGGUGGUUCAGCAAGUUGGAUGUGAAAUCCCCGGGCUCAACCUGGGAACUGCAUCCAAAACUACUGAGCUAGAGUACGGUAGAGGGUGGUGGAAUUUCCUGUGUAGCGGUGAAAUGCGUAGAUAUAGGAAGGAACACCAGUGGCGA